CCGCCCCUCAUGCCGGCCCUCCCAGGACUAAGCAGCCGAGAGGGCGGGGUCCCCACUGCCUACCCCCAUUGGUCGAGGGCCCCUGUCGCGGCGCACCCUUGGCCAAUUGCCGAUGGCUGUGGGCAGAAUCCCUCUGUUGGCAGCCCGCCCCCAACUCCGUGAAUCGGUUUGCCAUUGGGCGAAGGUGAGUGACGCAAAGGCUGCAGGACACGUGGUGGUGUUUUCAUUGCCAGGGCGGUGGGGCGGAGCGCGGGAAGGGAAGAACGAGUGCAGCUCCCGCCAGGCCUGCUGGCACUGGUCUGGCUUCUACGUCGUGGCGGCGGCAAAGGAGAAAGAGGACGCGCUCCUUCUCACUCCACCCAAGCCUCUGUCCUGUGUAAUACUCGGUCUAUUGAACUACAGAGUUUAGUAGAGAGCGUUAGACGCCAAAAGCCCCGCCCUCUUGCAGAGUCUUGAAGCUGCUUUGAAAACUAUUUCCAACUUGAGGAUGCUAAGGCCAGAUAAAUAGAACACCCACUCUCUUCUUGUGGGACUUGAGAAAGUUAAAAAAAAAAAAAAUCAGCUCCGAUAAGCCUUCGAGGAUGUUCCUGAAAGUCAUAAACAAGUCAGGUGCAAGGUCAGCAGCGAACAGUGUUUUUCCCAAGGCCACCGCCCAGCUGCAAAAUGCCUAACCAAUCACUUACCGUGAACCCCAAUCUGACAAAAAGCCACUUCCCGCCGCCUCCGACGGAACAGUGCCUGGUUCAUGUGGUGGGCACACUGCCUCGCUGCAGUGCGGUCAUCAACUGGCACUGCCUGGGCAAAGCUGGUGGUCUUUGCGCAUAACUGGUUUCAGCUCCCAGUGUUUUGUAGAAUAAAGUUUGAGAAACACUGGAUGAAACCAUCACUUUCUACUCUGAAGUUCUUCAAGCCUCAAGCUGAGACAUUGCACCCCACCUAAAAUGUCUUGUGUACCUACUGGAAAACAGGGUAGGAUCCACCAAGGGAGUGAGGGCUGUACCGUUGAAUAUUUUAA